rnacentral:rRNA from 1 species
CAGCAGCCGCGGUAAUACGUAGGUGGCAAGCGUUGUCCGGAAUUAUUGCGCGUAAAGGGCUCGCAGGCGGUUUCUUAAGUCUGAUGUGAAAGCCCCCGGCUCAACCGGGGAGGGUCAUUGGAAACUGGGAAACUUGAGUGCAGAAGAGGAGAGUGGAAUUCCACGUGUAGCGGUGAAAUGCGUAGAGAUGUGGAGGAACACCAGUGGCGAAGGCGACUCUCUGGUCUGUAACUGACGCUGAGGAGCGAAAGCGUGGGGAGCGAACAGGAUUAGAUACCCGGGUAGUCCCUGUCUCUUAUAC